UACAGCCAUAUCACAUUGAAAGACCAGUUCUCAUAUGAUCACCAAAGUUAAGCAAUUUUGCGUUCAGUCAGUACCUAGAUGGGUGACUGCUUAGGAAUAACAGGUACUGUAAG